GGGCGCGGGGCUGGGGCGGGGCUGCGCGUGCCAUCUCCUGAAAUCGCCGCGGGCGCGGGCCUCAUUCCUCAGAUGUGCAUUCUCACAUGGACAUCUUAUAAACGUCAUCAUUUCCCCAUUGUGAGCAUCAAAAGAGUUACUCUCAUUCCCCUUUCUCUAUACCAUAUGCGCAUGAUUUCAAAGGAAGCUAAAAUGUGUGGACCACACUUAAAGGGAACCUUCACUUUGGAUGUCAUCUUCUGGCUUCCAGCGCAGACUCUUCAGUCUCCAGCGCAGAUCCUCUGGCCUCCUGAUACAAACUUGCAUGGACACUACUGUGAGCCCCAGGUCUUCAACUGGAUCCUUCAAAUCUCCAAGGCACAGACAGACAUUUUGCAUCUUCCACACCUGACUCUGGGUGGCCACUGCUCUCCUAAUUGAUGCCCAGUGGACCUGAGAUGGGAUAAAAACCACUUGAACUGCUGGUUGCUGUAAAGGAACAACCUUUGGAGGCCUGGCCCAGCAGCACAUUCCUUUGGCACUGUACUCACUCAAUGUUUUCUUUUUUUGGACAUAUUCUUAGCUAGACCUAUUGCAUUCAUUACUCUGUUUUAUUUUUUCUCUCUGUUCACUUAAUUAAUUGACUUUCAGUGUUGGUUUUACAUUGUCAGGGUUUUAUUUGGAAUUAAUUAAUUUUGUGGUACUGAAAAUUGAACCUAGGGCCUUUGCACUAGCUACAUCUCUAGUCCCCCUUUCUCCACUUUUUAAAAAAUCUUUGAGAAAGGAUCUUAUUAAGUUGUUAAGUUGCCCAGGCUGGGCUGGAACUUGUGACCCUCCUGCCUCAGCCUCCCAUGGUGCUGGAAUAAUAGGUGUGCGCCACGAUGCCUGGCUUGUUUUUAUUGUUUUAUUUUAUUUUUGUUAUAUAACCAAUUCAUUUCAUUCUCCUUUUAAUUUUUUAUUUUAAAAUUAAAAUUGUGCCUGUUAUUACACUUAUUUUUACACUACUUCUGUCAUUUUAUCUUUCUUUCUUGUUUUUUUGUUUUUGGUACCGGGGAUCGAACUUGGGUCCUUGCGCUUGAGAAGCAGGCGGCGGAACCACUGAGCUAAAUCCCCGGCCCCAUUUUAUCUUUCUUUAUAUAUCUCUUUUUGCCAUUUUUUAGCAUGUGGAGGAUUCAGAACCCAGAGGGUUCAAAACCCAGUGUGAAAACUAGUUUAAGAAGAAAACAUCUGGCAUUCAACAGAUAUGGAAAAAGCCUUCUUGGAGCUUGUCUUGCCUGACAGAAAAUAGUAAUUUUGGGGAAAUGAGGUUACCAUCAACCCUCUCUUUGAGGGAGUUUCUCACCCACAAAGAUGAAAGCCACUUGCUCCUGCAUAGACAAACAUCAUCACAAACUUUCUUAUUUCUCAAACAUCUUUAUGUCUUUCCUAAAGAAAUAUAUUUGUUCUUCCCAUGUAAGUCUUUUUUCCAUCCUUCUCUUCCUAAGUUUGGAAUAUAGGCUUCUAAAUGCAGCCUUUUGGUGAGCUAGCUAAUUUUUUUGUUAGCCUCUAUAUGUG
rnacentral:lncRNA from 1 species